UGUCCACGAAACAGUGAAAUAUGCUUGAAAGAAUCU
rnacentral:sRNA from 1 species